GUUACUUCAGCACCAUAGACAGUGAACGCAAGGGACGCAGCAUGAACCUCCCCUCGGGGUUAUUUCAGCACCAUGGACAGUGAACGCCGCAUGAUAUUCCCCUCUGGGUUAUUUCAGCACCAUGGACAAAGGACACAGCGAUUGAAGAUCUUGGCUGCGUGUUUUCAAUUAACAUAGAAGCGACUGCGCUGAUUGACAGGAAUAUGAUGGGAAUACCGGUGGGAUUGGGGGGCUGGUUUAUGUACACGUGAAAUUCUGGCACAUCUCCCUGGAUGUCCUUAUUAAUGAUUAGCGUGUAUGUUUUAUGUCUGUGAUAGGGUGAUAAAACGCUUAGCUCAGAGGAAGGGGCAGAUCUCCCAGUGUUUUCAAUAUUGAUUCACUUCAUUGGACAAAUCCUAAUGCUGGGGGAGGGGAGGACACGGCAGCAGUGCCAUUUACUCAUGUUUUCUGUCUUCCGUGGAUGUGGGAGCAGCUGCACAUAGCUGGGGGAAAAAGGUUGAGGUCACAUCCCUUGUGUUAGGAGGAGCUGCAGACCCCUAUACGGACCACUUGGAUACAAAAAUGAAGAAACCCUCAAACACACCUUGAUGUCAAGCUGAAUUCAGGAGUGACUUCUGAGACCUAAGGAAAACUGAUAGUGCUGCUCCUACAUCAUAAGCCUUUUGUUUCCAGCCAUCUGCUCUAACUUGACCUACAGUAUUUGGGGUUUGAUGGGGGAUUGUUCGGAUGACAGCUGGAACUGUAGUAAUCACAGGAGGAAUCCUAGCAACUGUGAUACUUCUGUGCAUUAUUGGAGUGCUAUGCUACUGCAGACUACAGUAUUACUGCUGUAAAAAGGACGAGCUGCGUGGGGAGGAAGAGGAGGACCAGUGUCAUCGUGGCCACUCACACUUUCCCUGCCAUGACUGUUCCUCGGCGCAUCUCGAUGGAGUACAUCCUCCAUAUGUGGCACCAGCUUACUCCCCAUAUGGUUCUCCCUACAUCAUACGGACGGCAGAUACCAUGUGCAAUGGAAGAGAGAGAGAUUCAUACACUCCAAUUCACUAUGCAGAGGCUGGACCGCUUCUUGUGAUGGGGGGUACUCCCAGUCUUUCUAGGGGGCUACAGGCUCUCAGUACCCAGGUAUGAACUGCAAAGUAACCAUCACAGCUCUCGGUGUUCUAACCUUGCCAGUGACAUUAUUCCGCUCCUGAGUACCCAUAACAGCCCUAUUCCGUGGGAAUUUCAUGAACUUUUUGGGACUAUUAGCAUAAUUGGGACCUGUAGACAUGGUAUAAAUAUGUCUACAGCACCAUGUAUAUUGUAAAAGAGACUACAGUACUUUUCCAGCUGGAAGGUUAAGAAGUAUUUUGUGAAGGAAGAAUCUUUGGCAUUUGGAAUUAUCAAAUUUGUUUGAACUAAUACUUUGUAUUUCUAGCUUGGAAAAGUUUUAUUUUGUCCUGGGAAAAAUUAUGUGAUUUUAAAUCUGAAUUAUUGUAUAAAGUACUAAUAUUACAUAUAUUGUUAUAUAGAAACUUCAAAUGGGAACUACUGCAGUCACCAUAAUGGUCUGCACAUUCGGUGAUACAGGCUUUGAGAAACAGCCAAAAGAUUGUGAUUUUAAUUGAUAUUCAUGACAAUAUGAUCUUUAAAUUUAGUAGGAAAUGGGAACAUCAUUGGAACACUUCAUUCAGCACAAAAAAGUAGUAGGCAUAUGGUGCUGUGUACCAGUAAUCUAAGACAGGCUAUGCAUAAAGCAACACUGAGGCAGGAAAAUGUCUCUUUUUAUCAGUGUUUGGUUUAGCCCACUAAAUUAAUAAUACAAUACAUUGUGUAGGCAAAACCUGCACUACUAGCUAGGAGCCCAGAGGCUGUACUGUGGGUUAUGGCUGUACUGUGGCUCAAAGUCCUGCCCCUUCCCUGGAAGCCAAGUGGCUGUUAUGUUGGUUAUGCUUACACUCCAGUUCCUCCAUGGAGCCCAAGUGGAGCCCAAGUGGCUGAUCUUUGGGUUAGGCUCACAGUCCUGCCGCCUCCCCGGAGCACAAGUGACUGCUCUAUGGACUAGACUCACAGUCCUGUCCUUUCCAUGGAGCAAAAGUGGCUGAGCUUUGGGUAAAACUCCCAGCCCCGCCUCCUCUCUUGAGCCCAAGUGAGUGCUGUAUGGGCUAGAAUCACAGUCCUGUACGAUCCUUGAAUCCCUAGUGGCUUCUCUGUGGAUUAGGCUGCCAGUCCCGGCCGAAAACAGGGGUUGUGUGAUUUUUUUAAUGAGAGGGUUUAAGUGGGAGGACAUUGUGGCUUUCCAUUGGGCCAUCCUUGAAUCCCAAGUGGCUGCUCUGUGGAUUAGGCUGCCAGUCCAGGCCGAAAACAGGGGUUGUGUGAUUUUUUUUGAGGGGAUGUACAGUAAGUGGGAGGACAUUGUGACUUUCCAUUGGGUCAUCCUUGAAUCCCAAGUGGCUACUCAGUGGAAAAGGCUGUCAGUCCUGGCCGAAAACAGGGGCAGUGUGAUUUUUUUUUGAGGGGAUGUAAGUAGGAGGACAUUGCAGCUUUCCAUUGGGUCAUCUGGUAAUGACCACCAUUCAGCACCCUAGGUGGUAGUGCAGCUUAAAGUCAUUAAUUGAAAUCAUACUAUGUGGUAAAUUUACUAAGAUGGGAGUUCUAUUUAAGAUGGGAUGUUGCCCAUAGCAACCAAUCAGAUUCCAGGUAUUAUCUUCUAGAAGGUGCUAGAUAAAUAAGUAGAAUCUGAUUGGUUGCUAUGGGCAACAUCUCAUCUUAAAUAGAACUCCCAUCUUAGUAAAUUUACCCCCUUGUGCUCAAUAGUGUUCUGUCCUAGAACUCACUUGUUUUACAGUCAAAUAAAUAUUUUAUAAUACAGUAUAUUAUUAGGUAACUCAAUAAAUGAAUGCCAUUGUUUUCAAAGUCUAUUAAAAUCUUUUCUAUUUCACCAUAGUAAGCUUGAGAGAUCAAAUCUGAGUUUGCCAAAUAAAUGUCAUGAAAAAAGGGGAAA